rnacentral:rRNA from 1 species
AGAGUUUGAUCAUGGCUCAGAUUGAACGCUGGCGGCGUGCCUAACACAUGCAAGUCGAACGCGUGUAGCAAUACACGAGUGGCGCACGGGUGAGUAACACGUGGAUAUCUGCCUUUUGGUUCGGAAUAACCCUGGGAAACUAGGGCUAAUACCGGAUGGUUCCUACGGGAUAAAGAUUUAUCGCCAAAAGAUGAGUCCGCGUCCGAUUAGCUAGUUGGUGAGGUAAUGGCUCACCAAGGCAACGAUCGGUAGCUGGUCUGAGAGGACGAUCAGCCACACUGGGACUGAGACACGGCCCAGACUCCUACGGGAGGCAGCAGUGGGGAAUAUUGGACAAUGGGGGCAACCCUGAUCCAGCCAUGCCGCGUGAGUGAUGAAGGCCUUCGGGUUGUAAAGCUCUUUUGGCGGGGACGAUGAUGACGGUACCCGCAGAAUAAGCCCCGGCUAACUUCGUGCCAGCAGCCGCGGUAAGACGAAGGGGGCUAGCGUUGUUCGGAAUUACUGGGCGUAAAGCGCGUGUAGGCGGUUGUCCAAGUUGGAUGUGAAAGCCUUGAGCUUAACUCAAGAAAUGCAUUCAGGACUGGAUGACUAGAGGACCGGAGAGGAUAGUGGAAUUCCCAGUGUAGUGGUGAAAUACGUAGAGAUUGGGAAGAACACCAGUGGCGAAGGCGGCUAUCUGGACGGUUUCUGACGCUAAGACGCGAAAGCGUGGGGAGCAAACAGGAUUAGAUACCCUAGUAGUCC